AGCGAACGCUGGCGGCAGGCCUAACACAUGCAAGUCGAACGAACCUUUCGGGGUUAGUGGCGGACGGGUGAGUAACACGUGGGAACGUGCCUUUAGGUUCGGAAUAACUCAGGGAAACUUGUGCUAAUACCGAAUGUGCCCUUCUGGGGAAAGAUUUAUCGCCUUUAGAGCGGCCGGCGUCUGAUUAGCUAGUUGGUUGAGGUAAUGGCUCACCAAGGCGACGUUCAGUAGCUGGUCUGAGAGAAUGAUCAGCCACAUUGGGACUGAGACACGGCCCAAAAUCCUACGGGAGGCAGCAGUGGGGGAUCUAGCGAAAUGGGGGAAAGCCUGACGCAGCCAUGCCGGGUGAAUGAUGAAGGUCUUAGGAUUGUAAAAUUCUUUAACCGGGGACGAUAAUGACGGUACCCGGAGAAGAAGCCCCGGCUAACUUCGUG
rnacentral:rRNA from 1 species